rnacentral:rRNA from 1 species
UACGAAGGGGGCUAGCGUUGUUCGGAAUUACUGGGCGUAAAGCGCACGCAGGCGGUCCGAUUAGUCAGAAGUGAAAGCCCCGGGCUCAACCUGGGAACUGCUUUUGACACUGUCGGGCUUGAAUCAUGGAGAGGGUAGGGGAAUUCCGAGUGUAGAGGUGAAAUUCGUAGAUAUUCGGAAGAACACCAGUGGCGAAGGCGCCUACCUGGCCAUCGAUUGACGCUCAUGUGCGAAAGCGUGGGGAGCAAACAGG